GGCCUGGUGGUGUAAUGGUAGCACAUCUGCUAGAGAUUCGAGGUUUGUUAUAUUUUCAGUGCGAGUUCCUUGUUCGAUUCGAAGCCAGGCCA